UCCCGUGGUUGGCCAGCAGGCAGGCCUUGCGCUUCCGAAGCGCGGCGACCGCGCCUUCGGCGAGCGCUCGUGUUCCAAAUGUCGCGUAGGGA
rnacentral:tRNA from 1 species